rnacentral:rRNA from 1 species
UCCUGACACAGGGAGGUAGUGACAAGAAAUAACAAUACAGGGCUCUUUCGAGUCUUGUAAUUGGAAUGAGUACAAUUUACAUCUCUUCACGAGGAUCAAUUGGAGGGCAAGUCUGGUGCCAGCAGCCGCGGUAAUUCCAGCUCCAAUAGCGUAUAUUAAAGUUGUUGCAGUUAAAACGCUCGUAGUCGGAUUUCGGGGCAGGUUUGCCGGUCUGCCGAUGGGUAUGCACUGGUAGAACUGUCCUUCCUUCCGGAGACGGCGCCUACUCUUAACUGAGCGGGUGUCGGAGACGGAUCGUUUACUUUGAAAAAAUCAGAGUGUUUCAAGCAGGCAGCUCGCUUUUGCAUGGAUUAGCAUGGGAUAAUGAAAUAGGACUUUGGUGCUAUUUUGUUGGUUUCGAACACCGAAGUAAUGAUUAACAGGGACA